CCCGGCCCCGCCCCCUAAAGGCCUCCGCCCCUCCCCUGGGAGGGGCACCGCCCAUUGGGCGGAGACUCGACCGCCCAGGGCGAGUGCGCCUGCGCAGACAUCUGGCGUAGUCUCUGGCGGGCGAGGAAGGGGCAGGUCCGUUUUAUGCGGCUCGGCUUUGGGGAGGCUGUUGAAAGCGACCCGAAAGGGGCCCGAGAAGAAUCGAAUGGAAUCCCAGCACGUGGGGAACGCCCUAGGUGGUCCGAGCUCAGGCUGAGGACCACACGCCCGCGGCCGUGACACCGUUUGGCCCCAGGACGGGAGUCACCACGGACCUGUCUUGUGUCCUUGCUUGGCAGAUAAGUGCCUGUCAGUUUGGAACUGGCUGGCGGGUUCCUCAAAACAACUCUGCGUAGUUUCCCGAGGCCCUAGACUGCACUUUUAGUCCAUUCUGUGUGGGUAGUGCUUGACGGAUGUCCUCAUACAUCCUCCCUUGCCCCGAAUCACGAGACUGAUGACCUGGGAGGAAGGGCCUGAUGCCAGCCAGCGCUCUCUUCCCUGGGCAGCCCAGUCCCUGUUUUGCCUCUCAGCAGGGUCCAUGAUAGCUUUGUAAAAGUGGGGCCCCAGGAGGAGAGCUUCUUAGACCAAGGAAACCGUACCGCCCAGAACUCGCAAUCUUAUUAGGUGUUGAAUUAAGACCAUCAUUGCUAGUGACAGAAACCCAACUCAAACCAGCUUCGGGAGAUUGGGAAUUAUUGGGUCACAUAACCAUAAAGUCCAAGGCGGAUGGUAGCACCAGGCACAGCAGUAUUCAAGGCCUCAUCCUCCUUACUUGACUCUGCUCUUUCCUUUGUGACAUCAAAAUUCCUUUCAGAAGAUAGUCUCAAAAUUUCUAUUUCAAAUUCUAGAGAGAAUGGAUCUGAUUGGCUGUGGUGAUCACCACCGCCCCUGUUGGGCAGAGCUUCCUCUUUCUUGCCCUCUCCCGGCUGCCAGGUGGCUUAUGGAUCAAUCACCCUUGGGCCAGAUGAUCACACUUCACUCAGUGAGCACCCCUAGAGCGCAGAAGGGAUCAUGAGGAAGGCAGUCUCAGCUACUGACUUAUUUGAGGGAUAUCAUGGCUGGUUUUUGCAAACAUCUCACUUUGAACAUAACAUCAGAGUGGCUCCUGUUGACAGCAGCUGUCCGAAACUGGGGUGAAACUGUUUCUGAGGGGUUGGGCGGACCAGGGCAGAUGACCUUCACUUUGUGUCAUAAACCUUUUGUGCUAUAUAAUUUUUAAUCUUGUGCAUAUGUUACUUUGGUGGUUAAAAAAAAUUAGAAAACACAGGGCGCCUGGGGGGCUCAGACAACUGAAGAUCCGACUCUUGAUUUUGGCUCAGGUUAUGAGAUCGGGCCCUGCAUCCCGCUCGGUGCUGAGCUUGGGAUUCUCUCCCCUCUCCCUCUGCCCCUUCCCCCUUCGCUCGCGCACGCAUGCAUGUACUCUCUCUAAAAAAAAAAAAAAAUUAGAAAAUACUACUGAUGGAUUAACUUGAGUUUAUAUUCAGCAAUCCUUUCAUUCACUGCUACUGUGUUGGCAGGUGAAAUGGGCAUGUGAUGCUUGGAGGGAAAGUAGUCAUCUUGAACUGUGACUUGACCGUGGAAUGGAGGCCGUACCUGGAGGCACAACAAAACAGAAGGAGCCUGAGCCCUGGCGCCAUGGAGCAUCGUGACACUGCUGGAUGCUUGCCUCUGGACUUCCACGGGAGAGGGAAAUAAACCACCUUGUCUCCUCAGCACUGGAUCUUGUUAUGUCCAUUUAUUGGAUGGGGAAGUGAUGUCAACGGAAGUGAGGAGAGCUAGACAGAUGUGAUGGCUGGAACUUCUGCAGCUGUAUUGGACCAUGAGGUGACCUAGAAAGUGGAAACCAUUCAAGCUCUGGAUGGCCUACCCCCAGACUGGUUUAAGUGGGAGCGGGAAAAAAAUUAAGUUUUAUCUUGUUACAAUUACUUUAGGUUUUUUGUAAUGUGUAUCCAAACUUAAACCUGAUAUGGUUAUGGUUAAUAUGGUACUGCUUUAUUAUUAUCUGGUUGGGUUUGGUAAAUGAGUUUAUGUUUUACAAAUUUCUUUCCUUUAUUAUUUUAUUAAAUUUAUACAGAAACCACACACACACACACACACACACAGUCUUCUGUCAAUGCAACAUUGUUAUUAUAAACAUAUAUGCUCUCUUAAAGUAUAGCUUUUGAAUUUUUUUUCUUUUCAUUUUUUGCCCAGGGUUUCCCUACUUAUUAACAGCCUAGUGUAUAUCCUCUCAUAUAAUCUCAUCCAAAUCUGAAUCUACUGACUGAAAGAGGCUGAGGGGCAGGGUGGGGAGAAGCAAAGGAAAGUAAAGUACAGGCACGUGAAUGAAGGUGGAGACCAUUAUUGCUUGUCAUAAAUAUUCUAGCUGGAUCACAUUUUCCUACCCCCCCUCCAGCCACCCCCCCCUCCCCGAUUUGCCACGACUGUGGAAUUUACUUUGGCCACUGCAACGUGCGCAGAGGUUACUAUAUGUCACUUCCAGGUAGAAGCCUUCACAAACCAGAGUCCAAUUUGCCACCCAUCCCCUUCCCUUGCAUCAAGAGGGCACAUCCAUCAGCUUUUCUCCCUGCGUGACUGUGAUGAGUAGGGCACCCUGUUAAGCCAUGUCAGAUGUGAGUAAGCAAUAAGUCUUAUUAGAGUGACAAUUAGAGUGUGGAGAAUAAAAACCAUAUCUCCUGGGCCGCCUGGGUGGCUCAGUUGGUUAAGCUUCUGACUCUUGGUUUCAGCUCAGGUCAUGAUCUCUCGGACAUGAGAUCAAGCCCUGCAUCAGGCUCCACGCUGAACAUGGAGUCUGCUUCAGAUUCUCUCUUCCUCUCCCUCCCCCUCAGUUCCU